rnacentral:rRNA from 1 species
UCCGGAGAGGGAGCCUGAGAGAUGGCUACCACAUCCAAGGAAGGCAGCAGGCGCGUAAAUUGCCCGAAUCCUGACACAGGGAGGUAGUGACAAGAAAUAACAAUACAGGGCUACAUCUAGUCUUGUAAUUGGAAUGAGUACAAUUUACAUCUCUUCACGAUGAUCAAUUGGAGGGCAAGUCUGGUGCCAGCAGCCGCGGUUAUUCCAGCUCCAAUAGCGUAUAUUAAAGUUGUUGCAGUUAGAACGCUCGUAGUCGGAUUUCGGGGCGGGCCGACCGGUCUGCCGAUGGGUACGCACUGGUCGGCGCGUCCUUCCUUCCGGAGACCGUGCCUACUCUUAACUGAGCGGGGGCGGGAGACGGAUCGUUUACUUUGAAAAAAUCAGAGUGUUUCAAGCAGGCAGCUCGCUCUUGCAUGGAUUAGCAUGGGAUAAUGAAAUAGGACUUUGGUGCUAUUUUGUUGGUUUCGAACACCGAAGUAAUGAUUAACAGGGACAGUCAGGGGCACUCGUAUUCCGCCGAGAGAGGUGAAAUCCUCAGACCAGCGGAAGACGAACUACUGCGAAAGCAUUUGCCAGGGAUGUUUUCACUGAUCAAGAACGAAAGUUAGGGGAUCGAAGACGAUCAGAUACCGUCGUAGUCUUAACCAUAAACCAUGCCGACUAGGGAUUGGAGGAUGUUCACUGAUUGACUCCUUCAGCACCUUACGGGAAACUAAAGUCUUUGGGUUCCGGGGGGAGUAUGGUCGCAAGGCUGAAACUUAAAGGAAUUGACGGAAGGGCACCACCAGGUGUGGAGCCUGCGGCUUAAUUUGAC